rnacentral:rRNA from 1 species
CGGGGUGAGUAACGCGUGGAUAACCUGCCUCACACUGGGGGAUAACAGUUAGAAAUGACUGCUAAUACCGCAUAAGCGCACAGUGCCGCAUGGUACGGUGUGAAAAACUCCGGUGGUGUGAGAUGGAUCCGCGUCUGAUUAGCCAGUUGGCGGGGUAACGGCCCACCAAAGCGACGAUCAGUAGCCGACCUGAGAGGGUGACCGGCCACAUUGGGACUGAGACACGGCCCAA